GUACUUGCUUCGGCAGUACAUAUACUAAAAUUGGAACGAUACAGAGAAGAUUAGCAUGGCCCCUGAGCAGGAGUACUGGUUGGAUAGUAGUUCCUUGAAUUA